UUGAUGAUAAUUAGUUGUGGAUGGUCGCUUUUACGAGUGAUUUACUCAUUUGAUCGCCGGUCUAGUGUCGACA
rnacentral:precursor_RNA from 1 species